GUGUCAGCAGCCGCGGUAAUACAGAGGUCUCAAGCGUUGUUCGGAUUCAUUGGGCGUAAAGGGUGCGUAGGCGGCAGCGCAAGUCAGGUGUGAAAUCCCGGGGCUCAACCCCGGAACUGCACUUGAUACUGCGUUGCUAGAGUACUGGAGAGGAGACUGGAAUUUACGGUGUAGCAGUGAAAUGCGUAGAUAUCGUAAGGAAGACCAGUGGCGAAGGCGAGUCUCUGGACAGUUACUGACGCUGAGGCACGAAGGCCAGGGGAGCAAACGGGAUUAGAUACCCCAGUAGUCC
rnacentral:rRNA from 1 species